GCGGAGAGAGAGGCAGGUCUAGAUGCAGAUGGUCUGUUUCCCCUAACAACAGCAACGGCGGCGAGGAGAAAUCCUGGUCUCCGCCAGCUCCCGGCCAGACUCGUAAUCAGGCCACUAACGACAGCGGGGAGCGUAAAAGUUCUCUUCCCUACCCACCUCGCGUGAUGCGGUGACACAGAAUGAAAUUCACAACACACAUGGAGAAAAGGAAAACAACCAAUCCUUCCCCAGAACGGAACAGCUAAGAGCCAACGCUACUGAAAACCAUGGGGCAGGCAUCUCCACCGAGUGCAGGGAAGAGGCCAGGAGAAGACCCAGGAAAUAAAUUUAAAAAGGGACAGCCUUUGAGCUGGUCCCUGACCGAGAAUUCCACAUAAGAGAUUCCAUUUACCUACUUCAAUAACAUGGAUCGUAAAACUCUUAUUCAAUAAAGAUAUGAAAUAGAAGAUACUUGACUUCUGCUGGAUGACCCAAUGUGGAAAGAGGAAGGGAUGAAGUAAGGAGAGAAAGGUGGGGAUGGAGGAAAAGGAGAAGGGAUCGAGGUGUGCCCACCGCUGUGGGUCACGGGCUUCACUAUGAGCUAUCACUACCUCUGAAGUCACUCAGUGACCAUUAGUUACAACAGACGAGUUCAUGUGAAGAAAAAAGCCAAAACCACUGGCCAGAGAGGAAAUCACCCUGGGCUGACCAGGAUGUGUGCAAGGCCCCACUUCAACACACCUGAAUUCUGAUUUACACGUUCGUUAUUGGAAUUGAGGGCUGCUAACUCCUUAAGCUGGCUGCCAGCAGAUGCACUUGUUCUGAACUUGGACAGCCCCCUAGAGAGCCCAAAACUCACAACAGUCUAGCUGUACAGGUUAAAUACGCCCAAGGAAAAUCGAGGGUUUUAAAACAUAGCCAUUUAUACUCUAGGCUCAUUGUUUGUAAGUUAUUUUCUUCCUCCAGGUGUAUUAUUUCAACUCCUGGGGUGUAAAGGUCACUGCCUGUGGUUUGGGUUUUGGAAGAGACGUACCCCAGAGCACACCAGGGCUAUGGAGUUCAAGUGGGGAAUGCACCAGCUGGGGCUGAACUUUUAAAGACAAAAGAUCCUGUUGCUGCCUUUCAAACAGCAGGCUUAGCAGACAGAGAGAAAGGCAGCGACAACCUGACGUGGGCUUUAUAAAGUCUAAAAAUAGGUACUUGCAGCAGAAUGGUUUCUUUAGAGAACAAUUUUAAAGAUUCCCAGGAGGUGUCAGCUGUUCACCAGAUAUUGGAUGAGGAUAAAGGCUUUUGGAGCUGUCAGGGGAUCACAAAGCCCACGGUGAGGGCCCCCGAGACAGGUGAAGAAAAGGUCUUGGUUCAAAAUCCUGCUCAUGACAAAGUGGCCCGGGAGAGAAGAUCUCUGAUUCAGGACAGCAGCACUCAACAGGAGCUAAGAAUCCACUCCUGGCUUCUACCUUGCCACACAGACUAACUGGAAGACUAUUAGGCCAUGCAAUCAUUUUCUCUAGAAAGACAAUGAAUUAACCCACUUUCAAGACUAACAACUACAGAUUACUUGUGAAGAGACAGUCUUCUCCAUAAUGCAGGCAUUAAUAUGCAUCUGCUUAGCUUCCAUUAUUCAAAAACAAUGUUGGAGGCAGGUAGGUUAGUGCAAAGCCCUGGCCACCAAUGUGCUGUUAUAUGGAAAGUCAAGGGCAGAAGCUGUGGGACCAGAGCAACACAGGGCUUGAGAGUGUACUGGGGCCAGAUUCAAAUUGGACGUGCCCCACGGCACACUGGAAUACAGGCCAGGACAGAAUUAGGAGCCCCAAGGCUAGUCCUGCCUCCCCAUGUCACUUCAGGUCCUUGAGGGAACAAGCAGCCUCCCAGACUCUGUUUCCCAGUCUGCAGAGGUGGACCCACUCGGUGGUUCCUGACCCUGGCCACCCACAUCUCACUCCAGGCCAAGGAAGUCACUUGCUUUGGACUGAGUCUUGGCAACAAUAUGUUUUUGGAGCUCCCAGGUGACGCUAAUGCUGGGACAGGCUUGAGCACCACUGGUGCUAGGGUCCCUUUGAGCCCUAUGUUCUGUAUGCACAUUUUCACUCAUCUCCG
rnacentral:lncRNA from 1 species